AAAGGGAGCAUAUUUUGAAUUUUCAAUAAAUAACAAAUCUUGCCAUAUUCAUUGUUGGGCCGGGUUUUACAAUUGAGAGUAAUUAAGUGGGCAACAAUACCCACUCAUAAGAAAACACCGGGUAAUUCAAAUAUGCUCAGCAUAUUGUCCGCGAUUUCUCUUUCUCUGGCCCCAAUUCUUGAAACCUACCGCCUGUACAAGAAGCCGUCGUCUCCGGCUUGAAGGUAAAGGGUUGUUCCGACUUCAAGUUGUCGCCGUCUUCAUAGAUUAGGCGGUGUAAAAAAGAGCUGUUCCAGCUUCAAGCUAUCGCCAUCUUCGAUGACGGACAAAGCAACGACAAUUCGGAAGAGGUUGACAAUGUCAUUCUAUUAGAAGACAGAAAUGACAACAAUUUGGAUAGUGUGAACUUCAUGGAUGAUGGAAUUGAAAGAGUGGACAGUGUGAUAGUGCCCGUGGUGGUAUGAAAUUCAACGAUGAAAAAGAAAUGUUUAAGUUCAAACGCACCUCUCCAACAUGGUGCAAACAUGUGAUUUUGGAUGAAAAUAAUUGAUGCUGUUGGCAGCUCACUUGUGAGGGAAAUGUGGCUCAUAUUGUUGUGAUGCCGAAUAUCACCAUUGAGAAGUUGGAUUACUUUUUGAGCGAAUUAGUUCGAGGAUGAUUAAUCUGGUAUAGAGAUAAGAAAGUUCAGCCUCCAUGCCUUGCAGAAGAUGUCGGUAUAGAUAACUGUUCUUGUGCUCUUCACAAGUAGUUUGUCUAGUAGCUUGAGGUUCUCUAAGACCCUCAUUGUUGGUCUGUAGCUAAACUUUUCUAAGUUUUCUGAGAGAAGAUCAUCCCUUUGAUUUGUUAUGAAAAACAAAUUCAUAAUUGAAAUCACACUUUUGGAUUUUACUGC